GACGAACGCUGGCGGCGUGCUUAACACAUGCAAGUCGAACGGAAAGACCCUGCUUUUGUGGGGUGCUCGAGUGGCGAACGGGUGAGUAACACGUGAGUAACCUGCCCUUGACUUUGGGAUAACUUCAGGAAACUGGGGCUAAUACCGGAUAGGAGCUCCUGCUGCAUGGUGGGGGUUGGAAAGUUUCGGCGGUUGGGGUUGGACUCGCGGCUUAUCAGCUUGUUGGUGGGGUAGUGGCUUACCAAGGCUUUGACGGGUAGCCGGCCUGUGUGGGUGACCGGCCACAUUGGGACUGAGGUACGGCCCAGACUCCUACGGGAGGCAGCAGUGGGGAAUAUUGCACAAUGGGCGGAAGCCUGAUGCAGCAACGCCGGGUGCGGGAUGACGGCCUUCGGGUUGUAAACCGCUUUCGCCUGUGACGAAGCGUGAGUGACGGUAAUGGGUAAAGAAGCACCGGCUAACUACGUG
rnacentral:rRNA from 1 species